CCUACGGGAGGCAGCAGUGAGGAAUCUUGGUCAAUGGACGAGAGUCUGAACCAGCCAAGUAGCGUGAAGGAUGACUGCCCUAUGGGUUGUAAACUUCUUUUAUAUGGGAAUAAAAUGUUCCACGUGUGGGAUUUUGUAUGUACCAUAUGAAUAAGGGUCGGCUAACUCCGUGCCAGCAGCCGCGGUAAUACGGAGGAUCCGAGCGUUAUCCGGAUUUAUUGGGUUUAAAGGGAGCGUAGGUGGGUUGUUAAGUUAGUUGUGAAAGUUUGCGGCUCAACCGUAAGAUUGCAGUUGAAACUGGCAGUGUUGAGUACAGUAGAGGAGGGCGGAAUUCGUGGUGUAGCGGUGAAAUGCGUAGAUAUCACGAAGAACUCCGAUUGCGAAGGCAGUUCACUGGACUGCAACUGACACUGAGGCUCGAAAGUGUGGGUAUCAAACAGGAUUAGAUACCCGGGUAGUC
rnacentral:rRNA from 1 species